ensembl:lncRNA
CCCACUCCAGGCUUGCAGCCUGUGUCUGCCUCAGGCUUGUCCAGGUAUGGGAGCCCGGCUUCCUGGGAGAACCUGUCCCAUCAUGUGACUGGAGUUUGAGCUGAGAAGACCUACAGGGGCCUGGUGUUCAAACUGGGCUCCGAGAGCCCUGUGUCCCAGGCCAACUUGGCAUACCUCCCCUCCUGCUUCCAGCUGUUCUUUAUGGGAUGCGUGUUGUUAAAGGGAGAGAUUAUUGCAAUGAUGGGCAGGGGCUCCCUCGGGAAUCGCAGGGUUUGACUGGAGCCCAGGCAGCCCUGCUCCGAGGUGCAGACUGUCAGCAUCAGGUCCAGCAAAAUGGGCUGUGAUCCUCUUGACCUCUUGCAAGGUGGGAAUGAGGGAAGCUGGUCAAAGUUAGGGGACGGGCAGAGGGAAACUCUGAGGCUGAGAGACGAGGCACCCAAUGUCAGCUUGUGUUGGGGCUUGCCUAGGAUCAUAGCCACCCCUGUUGGGUCCUGAGCUGGGGUCUCCUGGGGUCCUGCGUCCAGUCCCAGGUGCCAGGAGAGUGCAGGCUCAGGGCCACUCAGGCCCCUCUUGCGUUUUCUGCACCGAGGCCUGCUUAUUGUUGAGGCCCCGCUCCCCAGGGCCACUCCACGACCUGCCCACUUCGGCCAGGCCUACCUUGUCCACCCAGCCCUUCCUGGCCCUCAGAAGCAGAGAGGAGGGCAGUGGUGAGUUGAUCCCAGGAGCCCUGGGUGGAUAAGGCCAGGUGGGGAGCACACCCUGGCUGUCCUCCCCUUUCCACGUCCGCCCACCACACGUGGCCUGGGGGAGGGGGGCUGCAACCUGUAGAGCCCUUGAGCUCCAGCCACCUUCCAUGUCUGCUGUCUCAGCCAGGCCCCUCCAGGGGUUGAGGGGCCGAGCGGGGCUGGAGGGCUCCUGGGAGAGGCCCUGGGUGCCCCACCCCCACACCUCUCUCCUUGGGGACCAUGAUGCCUGAUGAGGCGGGAAGGGCCUGGAGUGGGGAGCCGGAAGGAAGCAGGGACGCUGCAGGGACUCGAACCCCAGCCCAGCAGUGCCAGGCGUGCCACCACCAGCGCCUUUUGCUUUUUCCUGCUCAUUUUCUCACAGACUCAAAGGUGAAAAGCAAAACCUGGAUGCGGCCAUGAGCCGCAUCUAGGAAAAGAAACACCUGCGGCGGCUCCGUGCUCCCCGUCCCCCAGGCUCAGUCCUCCCCGGACACCCCUUUCACAGGCACAGCCAGGGGACACGCGUCCCCUCAGCUUCACAGAGAUGUGUCUGCUGUCGUGUUGCGCUGCACAGCGUCCGGGAGCACGUGACAUCCGACGGGCAAACCCACCCACGAGUUACAAUCCUGAUGCUUCUAGGACAGGGCCAGCGGUGACAGGAUGUGUAUGGGUGCAGAAACCUCCGAGACCCUGAGACACUUGAGAAGUCACUUCUGCGUAGUAGGGCUGGGAUGGGUGAGGGAAAGGAAUUUUACUUUUGUUUUCUAGCUUUUCCAUGGCUUGAUUUUUUAACUCUAUGCAGAUUACUUUUAGGAUGAAAGACAAAAAUCUUAAGUCUUUCAUCACAACAGGAAAUCUAAGAGCCAGGGGAAACUUGAGCACUCAGGCCUAGCACCAAUGCCAACGGUCCUGCAGGUCUGCUGUGCCCCGGCUGCCUGGGGUCAGAGACAUGCCCACCUGCCUCGCCUGCUGUCCUCCGUCUCAGCCAUCGUCAUCUGUGGAAUCCCUCCUGGGAACUGCCUUGACUGGAAGACGAAGUCGGAAGCACAGGGUCCCCACCAGUCUCUCCUCUCACCGACUCAGUGGGGCCUGCGUUCCAGGGUCCAGAGGUACAAGGGGCUCACUGUGGACCCUGGCCAGCACCUCCCGCAGCUCUCCCUCUCAGCCCCCUGCCCGCAGCACCCACUGCUCCCAGGCCAGGCUCUGCCUCCCCUGGGCCCACGACUGGUCCAGUGGGUGCACCCCUCCCAGCUCCGUAAUCUUCAUCCAGAAGUUCUGCCCCGGCCUCUCAAAGGGAGAGGGCUCCUGGCCCCCUGCUGUCAGCCCCGAGAAGCUCAGAAGCCCCUUCCUUUGCAAAGUCCAGAUGAAAGGCUGAGAGGCUCAGAGAGGACCCAGACCUGCUCGGGGCCACAAACAUCAGGCUGAGAGGUGUGAGCGGAGCUGACCCCGUUCACACACACCCCACACCCCAAGGCCUGGGGCCCACCAGGCGGGCUCAGAGCCAGGCCUGUGACCCGAGCCUCCAUCCCCUCACCCACAUCCCUUGUGUCCCUUUCCCUCUCUCUAGCCCAUCUCCCCUCACAGCCUUCCUUCAACUCACCCCCCCCAAACACACAACAAAAGGCAGCACUUACUUAUUGCAGCAGGAGAGAGAGAGACGUGCAUGGCCAUCUAAGUCCCAACCUGAUGAAGAAGCAACAAAGCUCUGACCUUAAAAGGCCCCAGAAAUGGGGGUAGUCAAAACACACUCUGCAAGAUGAGCAAAGAGUUAAUUUGACACGUUAGUGACAAGGCCCUCACUGUUUGUACUUUGGGAAACCCAGGGGGUGAUCUACACAGGGAAACGUGCCACCGACUAAAGGGUUGAAAUUAAGGUGGUGUCAAGAAACCACCACACACUCAUAGUCAGUGAGCAAAUGUAAGCGCGUCACUGGCCACUGAGAGCCAUCUGGGGGGCACAGGGCAGUGAGCAAGGAGCACUAGGCAACUGCUGCUUCCCUUUGGGGUUCCAGUGGGGAAUGCAAGGCCAUGAGGGAUUUGCCCAAAGGCGUCUGUGACAGUCAUCUGUCAUCACAAAAUGCUGGGCCCCAGCUGCUGUGGCUCACAAGGCACCAGUAACAGUCUCCCACCUGGGAUGCCCAGGGGCCUCAACUAGAGCAGGUGCAUGCUUUCAGAGGGUAACUGUGCCCACAACGUGACCUCAAGUGGAAAAAGCAAAAUAGCACCAAUUUAACAAUGUAAAGUGAACACACAUACAUAGGCAGAAAGGCGUAAAAAUAGUUUCAAAUUCCAGUUGAAAAUACUCUCCACAGGUACUUCAGUCAAAUGCAAAUGAGACAUGGCCCGGCCGGGGGUGGGGUGGGGUGAAGGUCUGCCCUGUCUACAUCAGACAAAGGGAAUUCCAAGCAGGCAGCAGUCAAACAGGCAGAUCUUGUUCCAAUGAUGCUGCAGCAAAACACAGAGAACAGAGCUGCUGAACCAUCUUGGGGGACGUGAGGAGAACCAGAAGAGGUGCUGAGAGUGUAACCACAUUCCUCAUACAAAAAGACUGGAUUUGAACCAGACCAAAAAACACACAGAAGGACUGAUCCAGAAUGUGGAACGUAUCAGAGAAUACCUUCUUGAGUGCCGUGGAACAUUUAUAAAAAUAACACUUUAAGCAAUGAACAAAGGGAGCCAUAGAUUCAAAAAAGCAGUAGUGUUUAGAACUACUUCUCGUCACUUCUUCAAGUAACCAUUCAGUAAACCACAGCCUGAUUACCAUAGUUAAAAAACAACGUGUACCAUGAAGGCAGGGCCAGUCGUCAUGUUUACCUGUGUUCCUGGGGACCAGCUCAGGGUCUGGCCAUGGAGAUGAACGUUAGAAGUCAAAGCUUGAAGGAGGCGACAGCAGCUCACUGCUUCUCUUUGCUGAAUUCCCUGUGUGUCUGCCAGGCCCCAGCCACCAGCUGGCAUUGGUACAUCCUCCUGGGUGGCAUCAGUAGCCUCUCUUAGGCCCCACAGCCCAGUAGUUGAGGGCCCUGUCCAAGGUCACAGGGAUGACAGAGCCACAGGGCUGGAGCAGGACCUCAGGCCACAGCCACCCUGUGCCAUUCUCCACCUCCUUCCGUUGUUGAAAGUGUGUGAGUCUGAACAUGAGUGAAUGAGGUAUGCAAGACUCUAGAAAGAGAGUAACAGAACAAAGUCCAAGGAAAGCCAGAGAGAAGAAUGAAAUAAAAGCAGAAAUUUAUGAAUUACAAAAUGAAAGCAGUAGAACUGGUUAUUUUAUCUAAAGCUGCUUCUUUGGAAAGGUCAAUAAAAUAGAGUUCUUAAAAGACUAUUCAAGAAAAAGAAAAACCAGUAGGAAGAACAUAGUGAAGGACUUCGUGGUGGUCCAGUGGUUCGGAGUCCACCUGCAGGGGACACAGGUGUGAUCCCUGGUCCAGGAAGGUUCCACAUGCCACCGGACAGCUAAGCCCGUGCUCCACAACUGCUGAGCUCACCUGCCCUGGAGCUGGGGCUCCACAACGGGAGAAACCACUGACAGUGAGGAUUCUGCGCGGGCAACUAGAGAGCAGCCCAAGCUUACCGCAGCUAGAGACAGCCCGUGCACGACAACGAGGACUCAGCACAGUCAGCAAUAAGUUCAUUUAAAACAAAGAACAAAGUGAAGAAAACUACUCAUAAGGAUAUUAAAAUGUAAAUAAAAUGUAAAAGGAUAUUGCACACUAAUACAUAUGAAUGACGUGAUUUUCUUAGAAAAUAAACCUAAAAAGUGUAUGAUCAGAUAGAAAUAUUGACUAGUCCAGGACUGAGUUUUCAAAGAAUCACUCAACCUCCACAAAGAAGUGGCAAACACCCCACUGUGUGCGAUCUGGGAAGAGAAGGCUGGGAACUUUCUAUCCUUAGGUGUUUCUGUCAUAAGGGACAGGAAGGGUGGCGCCGCCCCCUCACUUCAGCUUCACACAUGCACCCCUCACUUCAGCUUCACACCUUUGGAGAGCGAUGCACUGUUUUUACCCCCAUUCUCAGGAAAUUGGCUUUAAGAAUUUAAGGAAUUUGGCCAAAAGCAUGUGCCCAUAAGCACCAAAGCAGGGAACAGGGACCAGCUAUCAGAGCUGAGCUCAAACCAAUGCCCUGAAGUUAUGUCUGCCUUUCCUGAGAUCCCCACACCUGCCUGCCUGGCAAGGCCCCAAGUCAAAGUCGACCCUCUGGUUCAUUUCUGUCAACAAAAUAGAGCUCCAGGCCUGGAAAAGUUUGUUUCAGAAGUCAAAGGAGGGCUUACCAUCCCAUUAAUUCUUAAUCAUUAGAAAAUGCAAGGAGAAAACCCUGAUGCUCCAUCUCAAAAGAUGCAGAAAAGACAUUAAUAAAUCCCUAUCACUGAUUUAAAAAAUACAAUAGAAGCUUCCUCAUAAUCUACUAACAAAUGAUCCCAGUGCAUCUAGCAGUGAACCCGCUGACAUCAGUAUGGAGGGACGGUGCUCCUCAUUCACUUACUUCUCAUUUAAGGUUCACACUCUUUUUUUCCCCAAACGCUUGUGGUUUCACAGAAGACACUUUCCCAAACCGUAAUUCACACAUCUUUUUGCCACAUCUGAAUACAGCAGUCCUAUUUCCCCCACUUAAAUCAACUAACUUUUAAAAUAUAAAUUAACUUAUUUCAAAAGACAGUAUCAAGAAAGUAGAGUUGCAACCUACAGAAUGGGAGAAAACAUGAGGAGAUCAUAUAUCAGAUAAGGGUAUAGCAUCCAGAAUAUAGAAAGAACUCACAGCUCAACGAUGAGAAGACAAACACCCAAUUGAAAAGAUGGCAAAGGAUCAGUAUAGACACUUCCUUAAAGAAGAUACACACGUGGCUAACAAACACGUUAAAAAUGUGCUUGACGUUAUCAGUCAUCACAGAAAGGCAAAUCAAAAUUAUGAGAUGCCACCAUCAUUUUCACUCAGAUGGCUACAACCAAAAAGGUAAGAACAAGUGUUGGCAAGAAUGUGGGAAAACUGGAACCCUCGUAAAUUACUGAUGGGAAUGUAAAACAGCAUAGCUCCACUGAGAAACACUCUGGUUAAAGUUAAACAGAGUUGUUGUAUGAACCAGCAGUUCCACGCCUAGGUAUACACGAGAACUUAAAACUUGUGUUUUCACAAGAACUUGUAGACAAAUGUUCACAGAAGAAUUACUUCUAAUUGCACAAAUGGUGGGACAAUUCAAAUGUCCAACUGAUGAAUGGAUAAACAAAUAUGGUAUAUCCAUACCAUGAAAUAUUACUCAGUCACAAAAAGAAAUAUUAUUGCCUGCCACAACAUGAAUGAACCUUGAAAACACCACACUAAAUAAGACAGACACAAAAGGACAAACAUCGUAUGGUUCCACUUAUACAAGGUAUCAAGAAAAGGCAAAUUCACAGAGCCAGAGAGUGUAAUAAAGGAACCAGGGAUCGGGGGGGUAGGGUUGGAAGAUGGGAAACUGCAAGGGUAGAGAACUUCUGUUUGAAAUAAUGAAACGUUCUGGAAAUGGAUAAUGGAAAUGGAACAUUAGUGCAUGUGAACUAAUGUGAACACACAGCACAUUCACAACAUACUGAACAUACUGCUGCUGCGUCACUUCAGUCGUGUCCAACUGUGCAACCCCAUAGACAGCAGCCCACCAGGCUUCCCAUCCCUGGGAUUCUCCAGGCAAGAACACUGGAGUGGGUUGCCAUUUCCUUCUCCAAUGCAUGAAAGUGAAAAGUGAAAGUGAAGCCGCUCAGUCGUGUCCAACUCUAUUGACCCCAUGGACUGCAGCCUACCAGGCUCCUCCGUCCAUGGGAUUUUCUAGGCAAAAGUACUGGAGUGGGGUGCCAUUGCCUUCUCCACUGAACAUACUAAAACCCACUUAAUCAUACACUUUGAAAGCAAGAAUUUUACGGUACUGUGAAUAUUUCAGUUAAAAAAGGAAAAAUAAAUCUAGUUAAAAGGAAACUUUGUAUUACCACAAGUGGAAAACAAGGAAUUUCCAAGUACAUGUUAAAAAAAUACAUAAAUAUUGAAAUUUAAAAUGUAUAUCAGCAGAUCACCCCAACUCGCCUUGAGGACCACCAGCAGAACAAUCACUCCCUUGGGCAACCUGGUGUGGGCUGCCUGCGUGGCCUCCUCCAUUUGCUAAUGGGUGGCUCAGAAGGGAACAGGAUCACAAUGUAAUUACAGCCAAUGCAAACAAGACAGGAGAGAAGCAUGAAAACGGAAUAAAUCAUAUGGAUAAUAUGAUUAAAGAUGACGUUAGUUACUUGGAAACCACUUUGAACAGUGCUCAUGCCAUGGCAGGCCAGCACCAAGCACAAAGCUUACAUUGCUCCGUUAGUCCUCAUCCCACUUCUCCACAGAUAAUACGAUUAGCACUCCCCUCCCUGUACAGAUGGGAAAACCGAGGCAGAGAGAUGGUCACACAGAAAUGAGGCAGGCCCAGCGUGAAAGUAGGGUCACCCAACUCAAAAGUCCACACUUUUAGCCAAGAUGCUAUAUUGCAUCUCAACCGGCUCUAGUAAUGAAGUUCAAUGUGUUUGUUUAUAAAAUACAUAAAACCAGUCUUACCAUAUGCUACCAUAGUCAGAAAGUUUAAUAGGAAAAUGUAUCCAACCACAAUACAGAAUACUUCUAGGAACAUACUUUAUAAACGUGCUUAAUUUGAAUGAAGUCUAAAAUUCCCAAGAGAGGUGAAAAUCAUCCUAUCCUGAAGUAACAGGGAGGCCAGUUCCUAAACGGGAAGUUUCAGUAACAUAUAUAUAUAAAUGCAAUUCAACUCCAAUAAAAUCCAAAUACUUGAAAAAAGAAUGGUGGGGGCCUGUAUUACUUAUAUUAAAGCAGAUAUUAUAAAGCUAAAUACUUAAAACAUUGGGUUGGCACAAGGAAAGACAUCAGUGGAGCAGACUGAAGAGUUCAUGAACAGAUUCAGAGUAUUUAGCCCAUAAUUAACAAAUCAGUAGAGAGAGCAAUUAUUUAGUAAAGGUGUGGGAAAAUUUGUUAACCAUUUCAAAAGAUCUAAAUUAGAUUCUUACCUCAUACGGUACACCAAAACUUCUAGAUGGAGUAAAACGUUAAAUGUCAAAAAUGAAACCAAAAAAGAACCAGAAAAAGGACUUCCCUGGUAGGUCAGUGGUUACAACUCUGCGUUUCCACUGCAGGGGUCUGGAUUCGAACUAAGAUCUCACAGGCUGUGCAGUGACGCCGAAGUACAUAACCCUAAUGAUAAAAUCAGAUUUGGUUACAAAAUUUAAAACCAACAGCAAGAUCCAAGAUGUAAACUUAAAAAGCAAAUUACAAACUUUAAAAACAUUUUGUAGUUAUCUACAGUAAAUGUCCUCAACAUAAAAAAGGAUUCUCAGGAAGCGAUGAAAAUAAAAGUGAAGCACAAAGCAGAUGGAGAGACCAACUAACAAACACAGAUAGUGUAUAUUCAGCCCUACAGAGUCAUAUGUGCAAAUUAAAACACUAAGACACUGCUUAAACUGCCUAUCAGUUUGGCUUAAACUGCCAAGAAAAGGGCAGGGCCGGGCUGAAGUGUGCUGGCCUUUCAAGAAGGCACUCAGAAACGUGAGACCAAAGCCUUCACACUGGCCAUGCCCACUGAGCCAGUAAUGUCACCAGUAAGAAAUUCCCCUAAGGAAACAAUCAGGUUUCUGCACAACGACAUCUUCCAAGACAAAGAAAAGCAUCCUGGUGUAUUUCAACAGUAAAUGAGAAAAAAAUCAUAAUCAGAAAACAGAAUUGUGUUGGGUUGAAAAACAAACCCAUACACAUUACCUCUGAAGAGACGCAGGCCACCACUGACGCACAGGUGAAACAGUAAAAUAACUGAAGGGAAGGCCUGGCUGUCUCACCUCCAGUCACCUCCAGUCCGCCCCUAGUACAGACACCGCAAGUCUGGUACAGGAGGGGUGGGCCAACCCUGAGGAAGGGCUGCGCUGGGGAGGGUGGUCAGCGAGGGGACAAACAGGCCACUGAAGCAGACCCCAAAUCAACUGCCGUGUGCCAGACAGGACAACAUGGCUGUGGAUGGCGGCCUUGAGACGCUAAAGCAAUGGUAAAUUCUAGUUUGCAUAACCACUCUGAUAAGGCAGGAAAGCAUGCAAGACAUUCUGUAAACAGUCUGUCAGGCGUUGACAGGAGAAAAAGGCAGUUCAGGGUCAGGCGCUGCUUUCCAGGACAGAAUUCCCCUUGACAUUCUGGGUACACAGAUCAUCCUAGCUGACAGGAGUCAGCCACACAGGGACAGAGGUUCAGAAUGCAAACCCUCCUGCUGAACUCCCUUCCUAGGAGGUCACCUCCUAGAACAUGCCCAAUUCAUUCUUCACGCUGGGUCUGCAGAAAGCUAUUGGCAUUGUUGGCAGUAUGUUUUGGAGCAUUUCACCUGUAAAGUCCACUGAACAGGACAUCGUCAGUUCAAUAGUGACAAGUACCCAUUAGGCUCAGCAGAGACCAGCAGAAAAACAUGUAAGUACUGUGAUGGGGGUGGUCAUGAGGGUGGCUGCUGGGGGCUCUCUCGAAGCAGGUUAGGACGCCCAGACACACAGGAAGAAAAUGGCUAAAAUAGUCAUACAAAUGUGUGAGAGUAACCGUUACAGAGUCAUGAAAAUAUUAAUAACAGACAGAUUAAGAUCAGUCUAAUGGACCACAGCUUUCCACAUCCUAUGGACCCAAAUCAAAAUAACGGGAGUAAACAGGAGGACAUGCCUUAUCCUCGCACAGGGAGACAACAGCGUGAAGACAUCAUACGGAAGGAAAAGGAAACAGGCAAGAACCCCCAGGAAAAUCUGGGAGUGAAAUAAUGAGGCGGGCCUAUCUUCACCGUAUAAUGAGGCACAGAACUACAGUAUUGAAAACUGGAACUGGAACAUGGACAGAUAAAUGGUGAACAGGUACAUAAACCAGUAAGUCAUGGAGGGAUGAUAGGCUGAUUACCAGUCACUCAUUAUGACAAGAUUAAGUCCAGAUGGAGCUAAGAUUCAAAUAAAAAUAAAAUCUUAAAAGAACUGGGUAAAACACAAGGUUUAACAAAAAAUAAUCUUGAGCUGGAUUAGUCUUUCUGAAAGACAGAAAGUGAAGCCGCUCAGUCGUGUCCACCUCUUUGCGAUCCCAUGGACUGUAGCCUACCAGGAUCCUCCAUCCUUGGGAUUUUUCAGGCAAGAGUACUGGAGUGGGUUGCCAUUUCCUCUCAUAAAAUCCAGAAGUCAUAAAAGAAAACACUCAUAAAAAAGCUUAAAUAUAUUUAAAACUCUUGAACACCAAAAAAUCUAGAAGCAUAAAAUCUAAAGGUAAAUGACAAACAAAUCACAAAGGGUUAUUAACUAAUAUGUUAAGAGCUCUUCUUUACCAGCUGAGCCACAAGGGGAGCCCUAAGAGCUCUUAAAAUUCCCUAAGUACACACCCCAAUAGAAAUGCAAAUCAAAACUGCAAUGAAAUAACUGUUUUUACUUUUCACACAGACAAAUAACCAAGUUCAAGAACAGUGUCAGUAAAGGUGUAGGAAAUGGUCAACCAGAACAGCCUUCCUGGAGUGUAAGCUGAUGGCUCCCUCAUGUUUGGAAAGGAAGAACUACGGGCCAGAAUUUCCCUCAAAAGAAGCGUACGGCACAGAUAUAGCUGCCAUGUACAUAGAAACACAUAGAAACUGACACUUAGCAUAGAUGUACAUACAGUAAAAGUUGCUGGAAACAACCUUAGUUGUUCCUCAAAAGGGGAAUGGGCAAUUCAAACACGGACCUGCACGCAGACACUGGAGUGCCCACGGCAGACAAGAGCACAGGUGCACAGUGAGCUCAGUGCACCGUUAUCUGAACCACGCGGAGUAACACAGGGCCUGUGGUUUAUCAGGGCCUCACAGCAAAGUGCAUACAAGAGCUCUCCAGAAAACUCCAGCAACUACCUGGCCACAAUAGCAGUCUCUACGGGACAGGGAGGCCGGGGUUAGAGGAAAACACAUCACAGUAACUCUCAUGGGUUUGGAUUUUAACAUGUGCAGGUUUUACUUUGAACAUUUUUUACACCUUUAAGUUGAAUUAGAGGAGUCUUUGCCCUUAGGGUCAGCUCAGGGCAGAGGCAGAGCCUGGAUCUGACACCCAGACGGCGGGUCACACAGUUGUCACAUCGAAAGAAGAGUAAGGGGGACAUUGCAGCAAUCACCCCAGAAGCUGCGAGGAGAGAACAAGGCUGGGGGACAGAUCCCGAACUCCUCGUGACCCUACAAGGAGAGUGAGAGACAGAGGGAUUCACACCUGUGUUCCCGCCAUCGGGUGGCCUCUCAGAGGAGAGCGAGCAUGCACCUAAACCAGAAAGCAGCCAAGGCAGCGCUGAGAAGACAGGGAGCACACUGUGCCUCACCUGAACACACCUCUUUCCCCUGAGGAGAGAAAUGCCUACAGACAGCGGCCAGUCAGGUUUCAACAGACCAAACGCAUAAGGUAAUUUUGCAAAUGUCACAACUGCUUUUCUAGAAGUUUGUUUUUCAACCUUAGGGGAAGAACACUGGAAAAGACUGAGGUUUGUUAGGCCUGUCCUUGUUUUGUGCUAAAAAGUCGGAUACCAUCUUCAGUUAAAAUCUGGUAUGAACAAGCAGUUUCAACUGAACUCCACAGCACAUUAGGAGAAGACCAGCAUUAUUCUACUUGGGCAGCAGAAACUCUCAACCCACCGCACAAGACUGUGAGCCCCAGACCUGGACAGCACCAGGGCAGGCGAGCUGGGCGCAGGGCGUUUGGAGCAGGUGUGCCUGGAACUCACGCUUCCUGCAGCAUCAUGACCCGAGGGCUGGCAUAGCACAUGCACAGAAAAGUAUUUGUCAGACGCUCACUGCAGCACUGUUUGUAGGCCAGAAAACCCUGGAAACCACCUUAAAAACUCAUCAACAGGAAAAUGGUUAAGAUGACUAAAGAUUAAGUAAAUAUUAUAGAAUCAUGAAAAUAAUAAAGAUGUUGCAGAACAGUCACACCACAUGUUUGCGAUUGAGCAGAUAAUAGGAUAAAACUGUUGUAUGUCCACAGAGGGGAAAUCUCUGAAGGACAAUAAAUGAAGUUUCUAUUAGUAACUAUUCUUGGGAGAAGAACUACAGAGAAACAUCUUCUAUGUUUUUUUACACAGUGUUUAAAAUUUAAAUGCAAAACCAGUGAUUUAUAAAGGGAUUAAUAUAAAUUCUGCCACAAACAUACACUCCACAGUCCCAUCCAUUAUACAGUACACAGUAUAGUGACAUUAGCCACGAACUUACCUAAAUCUUCCAGGUUUUGGUCCCUUCGAGAGUUGCUGCAAUGCAGACAAGUGGAGAACAAAGCCACAGGGUGACGUGGAUGGAGAGUGUUCGGCUGGGUACUCUCAGCAGCCUCAUGACAUGAAUAAUUUACAAAAUUAUACCUCAAGAAGAUUACCAAUGAUGAUAUGCCUUGGAUCUGGCACCUCCAUCAGCUUCAAGCCCACAAAUGUAAACCCACAGAUGACAGGAGUCCACUGUACCCAUUAGAGUCUCAGUGGGUCACUGUGAACACGACAGAUCAAAGACAGCAUCUAGCAGGAAUUUCAGAGCUUGCUCUUCAGACUGUCUAAGAGGACAUGGACAUACGCACUACACUCUGGCAAGCACAUUUGUACGCCCACUCUGGAGAACGGGGCAGAAUUGAGUAUACAACGUCUGACAUUUUGGUACCGACUCUGAGAAACAUUCAUGUGUAUGCACACAGGGUGUGUCUGACAAUGAUCACACAGCAUCCAAAAGGACUGGAAAGAGUGUAAAUAUCCAUCAGCAGCAGAAGCUCUAAAUAACCCAUGGAACGUCCAAGUGAAGGACUAGUGCCCAGCAGCUUAAUACAAGGCUGGCAGUUCAACACGUACUCAUGGGAAUCUCCCUACUGCCAAGUGAAAAAAGCAAGUCAGUAAUGAUAUAUGCUAUAAAACAGUAUUUUACCACUUACAUAGAUUUUUUAAUAUUAGAUGUGGAUAAAAGUGUACAGAAAAACGUCUAGCAGGAAACAGCACUCAAGGUGGUAGGGGCUGGGGUCAGGGGGUGGUGUUUGGAAAUGACAACCUAGUCAAACUUUAAUUCUGUAUAAGAGAGCAUCCACCUACCACUUAUCCAAUGACACUGACCAUAAUAAAAAACAAUGGGAAAAAUGGAAUCAUUAACUAUGUCCAUAUAGUCACAUGAGAGGCUCCAAAACAACUACACACUAAGGUAAAGGAUGAAUGGUAACAUCAUUAAAUGAGAAAAUUCCAGAAACUUAUAUACUUUUUCUAUAAAGUUAAAAACUACUAAAAUGAAAAUUAUAGUUCAUUUAGGUAAGUUUUUUCCUUUUUCCAAAGUUAGAUGAGAAAAGAAUAAGUAAAAGAAAAACUUAGUAUUCAGGAUCAUAACCACUUUGGCUUAGAGGGAGGCAGGAAGGGGAACGAGCAGAACCACACAGGUGGCCAAAGUCAGUGUCUACAAGUCCUAGUUAUAUACUAGAAGAUUCAGAAAUGUUUGCCACAGCAUUAAAACAUCAUGGAACCAAAAAAACGACAGCCAUGUUUUAUGUCUCGAACCAAAGAUUAGCCCAGUUCUGUCUGCUCAAGUUCCAACAAAGAGAAGGAAUAGUCUUGUCUUAAGGAGUAUCAUAUCUUCCACUUACUAGAUUUUAUAAUGAACACUAAGUCAUUACAAUCCAAAGCAUUUGAUUAGAAACAACAAAAACUAGAGACUAAAAAUUUGAGAAGCAGAUUCAGGCAGAUAAUGACAAGAAGCUAAUACUGACAGACCUGGAACAAAAGAGUGAUGACAGUAUUUACUUGAAGUCUGAUAAUUCAACUCUGAUAAUUCAACUUUAUCAGUGUAAUUAGUUUAGAGACAUCAAGUAGGCUGGAUACAUAACUCCUUAAAUGGAGGACAGCAUUUACUGUAAGGUGGGAGUACACACAUGUUUAGCUGCUAAAGAAAAAGUAAUCAGAAGCAAACCCAACAGUCUUAAUUCAUUGUUAUUAUUAGUCUUGUUACAUCAAUCUUUAAAAUGUCUUUGUAUAAUACUUUCUAAGCACAACAAUAAAAGGAAAAAAUGAGAGUAAGUUUGAUAAUCACUGGCAAAAGCUUCCCUUCCCAACUAUACAAGGAAUUCAUGAUCUUUAUAAAAAUCAAUAUAGAAAUUUUAAAUGGUAAAUGGUCAAAGAAAAAAUACAAAUGGUAAAUCAAGUGGUAAAAUAGACUAAAAAGUUAUUACAUAAAUACAGGCUGACCAUGUAAGUAGUUUUAAAAUAAAGUAACAAUAAAUACUUUAUAACAUUCAACAUGGCAACAGUUUCUUGGACAUGACACCAAAAGCAGGGGAAACAAAAGUAAAAACAGAUAAAUUGAAUUACAUCAAAAUUAGAACCUUCUGUGCAUCAACAGACACAAUCAACAGUGAAAAGGCAACCUAUGGAAUGGAAAAACAUGUUUGAAACCAUGUAUCUGAUAAGAGGUCAAUAUUCAGAAUAUGUAAAUAACUCCCAUAAAUCAACAACAAAAAAUAAACCAUUUUUUCAAUGGGCAAAGGUGAAAGGACAUUUCUCCAAAGAUACAGAAUUGGGCAGACAGCAUACGAAAAGAUGCAACACCACUACUAGGGAAGUGUAAAUCAGAUCACAACGAAAUAUCUCUUCACACCCGUUAAGAUGGCUAUACUAAAAACAAGUGUUGCUGAGGAUAUGAGACCUUGUAAAUUGUCCACAGGAGUAUAAAAUGGUGCAGCUGCUACAGAAGAUAGCAUGAAAGUUCGCCCCAAAUUUAAAAUAGCAAUAUCCUAUGAGGCAACAAUACCCUUCUGAGUACUGUUCUCUAUAUCCAAAAGAAUCGAAAGCAAUGUCUCAAGAAGACAUUGUACACCCAUGUUCAUAACAGGAUCGUUCACAACUUACAAGUAGAAGCAACCCAAUGUUCAAGGAUGAGCUGGUCAAUAGCUAUGUCCAAUAUAAACAAGUUGUGAUGUAUACGUACAAUGGAAUCUUCUUCUAAAAAGGAAAAAAACCUUGACUCAUGGUACAAUAUGCAUGAACCUAGGGGACAUUAUGCUACAUAAAAUAAGCCAGUCACAAAACACAAAUAUCACAUGAUUCCACUUAAUACGAGGUACCCAGAGUUCUCAAACUCAUAGAAACAGAGAAGCAGAAUGGUGGUUGCCCAGGGUUAGGGAGAAGAGGAUGAGUUUAAUGGGUACAGAGUUUCAAUUUUACUAAGUGAGAAAGUUCUGGAGAUUAUCUGAACGCUACUGAACUGUACAGUAGAAUGGUUAAGAUGGUGAAAUUCAUGUUAUGCAUAUUUUACCACUCGUUUUUUAGAAAGUAGCAAUAAAUAAAACAGAAAAACCUGAUGCUAGCAAUUAUGAAGGGAAAUGGAUAUUCUCACAAGAGGAAGUGUAAGGUAUCUGGAGAGUAUCUGAGAGUCUGUGACAAAAGCUAGAAAACCAUGCAUGCUCAGUGCCCAGGCUGUGCCACCCUAGAAAACAGAUAUGGAUAUACAUAUAUUUCUACCAAUACAUAUUUACAUAUUUUCACAAAACUUAAGAGAUGCUCAUACUAGCACAACUGAAAACAGUUAAAACGCUGUUUACAACUUAAGAAACCGGCUCAAUGUCUUAUAGCAUACGCACAAUAGGAUAAAGUACUGCAACUGUUCAUUAUGGUAUUUUCUUGAGGUCAUGAACCCCUUCAGCAAGCUUAUGCCUUCCGUGGAAAAACAGUUUCAGAGCACUCACAGGCUUCUAGAAGAGUCCUCCAUGGGAUUUCUGUGGGAGAAUUAUUAAUAUUCCUGAGAAAAAGCACUUCCAACACAUUUAUUUGUGGACUCUGCUGAUACGGGAAAUCUGCAUGGAAACAAACUUAAGGUGGAAAACCAGAACAGCCCAGAACACGCACACGGAUUACACGACAUGAAAGGCCCAGAGAAGGCGGGGAACUAGUGGGAACCAGAAGGAAGAGGCUGGACCUAGGCUGGCCACAAAGGAGGCGAAGGAAUCACCAUCACCACUCAGUGGGGAGCGGCCACGUGCCAAAUACAGACAUCCAUUCUCCCACCUCACACUGGAGGAAAACCAGCCCCGCGAGGCUCAGAAACUGCUCCCAGUCAGGAGUAGAUCCGCACGUCUGUCUGCACCAGAACCGCCCCACCCAGGGGUGCCAGGUGGGCUCAGUUAACACAAUAGCCACCUGCCCCCACGUCUUCAGCGAACUGUCCAGUUGUGACAAGUCUCCCAGCUGACAGCACUCUCUGCCACUCCAUCAUCCAGCCACAGGGAAGGAGCAAGCCCGGGGGCUCUGGGCGGGCACCAGGCCUCCUCUUGUAUACAUACACACACACCCCCAGCCCCGACUGCUAAUAAAACCCAGUUGGAUUGAACGUUUAAAUGUAAAAAAAUGAAACCAUACAAUUGUCACAAAAUAAGAGAUUGAUACAUACUUUGGGGUUGGGAGAGAUCUAGACAUAACACAAGUACAGAAACCACAUGAAGAAUGACGGACUCAGAAACACUAACUUUUGUAUGACUGAAAAAUGAAAAGGCAAUCUACAAACUGGGAAAAUAUUUGCAUCAAACAGAAUGAAGCACUAUUAAUACAUAAGUGCUUUUACAAAAUAGAAAAAUGAGCCAUUUCGAAGUACGAAGUCACACAUGGACGCACAUACAACACUGCAGAUGUCGAAACACACGGAUUUCAGCGUCACUAGCAGGGCUCACACACAAAAAACGCUGCUGGAUCCAAAACGGAAGCAAAGGUUUUUAGUGUGAAACUACCUCGUUCGAGAAAAAGCGGGGCCAACAAGGUUUACCUUAAGAUUGAGGAUGCUAUUUACAAAACCCCUCCCAGGAGGGCAACUUAGCAACAUGAACUCAGACGUAAGAAGUCUGACAAAGGCAAUUCAUGUGCUGAAAUACAUUCAUGUACCCCAAAGAAAUACUAUCAGGUAUGAUAAAGUUUGAGCUAGAAGGAGGGUUAUCACAGCAUUACUUACUAAAAAAAAGUGGAAAAUAACUUACAUGUUGUCUAAAUGAAGAUAUUUUAAAUUGAUAAAGUCACACAAUGCACAUUAUGUCACCACAAAGAUGCCUAAGUGAAAAGAGUUGCACAACAGAAUCUACAGUAUAAUUCCAAUUUUGUGUAAAAAGGUAUAAAUAUCCUAUGCAUAGGAAAAAAAACCAAACCUCUAGAAGCAAAGAGGCCAAUAACAAUUGUCAGUAAGAUUACUGAGUUUUUUUUUUAUCAAUUUUCUUAUUUGUAAACUUUACAAUAAAGCCCUUUACAACAUGAGAACUAACACUUACUUGGUGCAACGCUGAGGGGCCCUGGAAGGUGGAGCCUUCAGCAGAAGGCAUCCUACUUGGGAGACCAAGGGUAGAAGCAGCUGCCUUCACCCAAAGGUCAAGGCCACCCUCCCCAAAUACAGCUUUCUUAUUUCUGGUUAUUUUUCUAUCUUCCUCUUGUCAUUUCCAGACUGCAUCUGUAUAUUUUUGCAUGUUAACCAUUUAAAAUUUACCACAAAUAUCCAAAGCUGUCUUGCCGUUUCAUUUAACAUCAGCACUGCACAAUAGCAAGUACUGCUCAAGGCCAGAGGUUAACAUUUCCUCCAGAAACUUAAGUACACAAGAGGUUAGCCCUGGCAUAAGAGGUUCAAGGAGUCCCUUCAUGGCCACAACCAGUAAGACAAACCAGGGGCAGCCAAGAGAGUGAAGUGGGGGUGAGGAACCCCUUCUGUAACACAGGCCAUUUCCACAGUUCUCAGGGUGUCCAGUCUGGGCCCACAAAGGAGCCUCAACCAACACUUCCUCUCUGGCUAUUUCUUUUUGAAAGGACUUCCAAAUUCACCUCUUGUUAUUUUUAUACCCCAUUACAUUUAGCUGCACCAGGUCUCCAUUGUCUACUAAAUGCUACAAGCCCAUUCACUGAAUUUCAUUGUACCAUCCACUGCCUCUCAGAGUUCAGAGGGAAGGCUGAAUUCAGAUCUGUGUACGAAGACAAAAACUGAUCAGCAGUGAUCACCAACACCAUCAAUACCUUUGACCUAUCCCACCUGACCUGUGAGCAGAGGGUAAAGAACAGGCAGGGCCCUGGGACAAGGCAGAGGCCAGGAGGGCAUGGGCACAGCCUCUAGCCGCCUGCUCUGCUCCUGCACCAUCAGGCCCACCUCACAGUCCCUUUUCAAAGACGAACAUUUACACCCCUGCGGAGAAACCCUUCAUCAGCCCGCCGGUCGCUAGGUAACAGCACCCAGAGGCACUCAUAGCAGCUACCCUCGAGUUUGAUAACCACUGUAUAAAAACAAAAGGAAAAAUAAGUUCUGAAAAAAAGGAAAAGCAGGCAGAGAGAGCUGAGCAAAAACAAGAAGGGCAAGGUAGGAAAGGAAGCCUCGAUUGUUCUGGGGAAAUCAGAGAACAAGGUGCCGAGCAGGGAAAGAUCCUGGAACCUGGACAGCUGUGAGCCUUGGACAGGCGGGAACCUUAUUCCAGUCUCUGCAGGGGCCACACCCAGCUGCUCUCCCAGCCCCUCACUGUGGUCAGAGCACAACCUGUCCCUGUCCCCUUCCCACUCCCUUGGACAUAAAAGCCUUCUCAGUAGAAGCGGGUGGUGGUUUCUAUUCCAAGUUCAUCUCGCGCAAAGCAAAACCUUAGGGCCCCAAUGAACACACAACAGCAUCCCUGCUGGGCUCUCCCCGCCCAGGACACAGGGUCAGCUUAGACACAACACACACCCUGGAUUCCAAAUUGCUUAGCACAGCACUUACGCAACUCUUUAGUAAAAUGAGAUGUGCUUAAACCCAAAUUCUAGACACAUUCCAGCCUCCCAAAGACCACAACUACGUCAAACAUAUAUUACAUGUUCUUUCCAUUUGUUAGGCUGCUUACAGUCAUCGAGAGAGAUCCCCUUUUUGACAACAUCAUUUGGAAACAGAAUUGGGUAAAAUUCCAAGAAUUUAGGAAACAGUCCCCCCACCCUGACAAUGACCUUCGUUGGCUUGUGCUUUGUCAUCACAUUUUGCACAACCAUCACACACUCCCAGUCAGCAGAGUCCAUCCCCAACUGCCACUGGGGAUGCAGGCCAUUCAGGACCUACCCGUUCUGUUGAGGUUACCACACCGAGCUCAACGAGCUCAGUCUGGAGUUAUAUUAGUGAAUCCAAGCCUAAAUCUACAGUAUGAAGGUACAUUUCACUUCAUGAUACACAGGCAAGAUCAGGGUUGAAAAAAUAUAGCAAUACAAGCAAUUCUAAUGAGUCCAGAACGCAAACCUUUAUUCGUGCUGUAAAGGGGAAGAAAGUGUUAGUAGUCACAUACAUGAUGCAACAAGGACUGGUUCUUACCAUACAGAGCAACGUACAAGAACCCUUUCCACCUGUUUUUACAGUUUCAGUUUCACAACAGCUUACUGGAACAUAUUUCCCCACAGACGCAUGACUAAUACUCUAAAUUCAUGACAGUAACUGUAUCACAUGCCCAAGUUACAGGUUAAGAUCGGAUCAACAUACUUGUAAACAUUCAAGAGAGAACCCAGAAAAAUUCCGUGUCGUAAGUAUUGAGGGUUUAAAAUUCUCAAAACGAAAUUCAAUGGGAAAAUGGACAGGAUAGUCACUGGUAUUCUCACAAAACUACUUCCCUAAAUUUUUACAAACACCAUAAUCCAGGAAAGAAACUCCCCACCCCCAGUUUUGCUCUUAUUUCCCUACCUGAUUUUGGUUAAGUUUCCCCUCUAGUACCGCCUUCACUUAACACAAACAUUCAAACUGAAGAUGGAGUAAACUAUUAACUGGAACCUUAGCAAGGGUACAUAGAUUGUUUGCUACCAAAUAUUACAGUAAUUAGAGUGAUCACGAUUUAAGUUCUCCUUGUUACAAUGAGGAUGAAAAGAAAGCACUCUGGCUAUUACUAAUUACUCAUCACAAAGAAAAGAUAAGAUGUUUAUAAGGCAGGAAGUAACAUAUAAAACUCCUUUAAAAACCAUUGUGUUUUCACUUUGCUCAAACUUUCAACUGCAAAAUAUCAAGUGAACAAAAAUGUUACAAACCCAGAAGAGGGCAUCUAAGCCUGUACCAAAUCUUAAAAUACUUUAAAAGCCCACAAUUAGGGUACUGAAAGUCUUUUCUGAAACUAGUCCCUGAACAUUGCACACCUUCAGAUAAACCACUUAAGAAGCUUGCAAAGGAGUGAAAGAUGUUAAUCUGCUGAUGCAAGUCCCUAACAAUCUUUCAAGAGACUGAUAUCCAGGUUUCAGUUAACUUUUCAGUCUUCCCCUUCUUGUAGCAAAGCAAAACAAUUUUGCUUUUUUCCUUCCCCACACUUAGCAGUUUUAAGCAUUGUAGAAACUUUUCAAGUAACAAUUUAACAUUAACAAUGUACUAUUAACUAGCAUUUUCUUUGCCUUUGAGCUCUAUUCCCCAGAGCUCUGCCUACUGAUCUUUUCUCCAGAGAAUUCCCUUCAACCCACUUUCCCUACCCUCCCACCCUCCGCAAGCCACACCUAAUCACAGCCUUCUCUUCAGCUCACCCUCCCCAGCCCAGGCUGUUUCCCACCCAAACCCUCACCUCAGGGCCCUCCCAUUUGAACACGAAGAUUCCUCUGAAAUCUAAUCAAGUAAGAUAAAUUAAGCAUAUACAGCAAGAUGAACAGAAGAUUACUCUUGGUACCCCAACUAUUCCCUUCUGGUAGCAGAAGUGACCAAACGAAACCUGCCAUUUUUAUCACCAUCUGGACAUGACCAUAUCGCGCCCUCCCACCUAGCACAGCACAAUGACACCCCACCCCCACCCCCACUUCGCCAGUUGGCUUCAUUUAAGUCAGUUGGCUUCAUUUAAGUAUUUGCCUAAUGCAUUUCAGUCUGGAACGCUUCCCCAACACACACAUUACAUAUCACACUAAGAAUUCCUCUGACAAAAGCACAGGCAGGCAGGUGGGUAGAUGAGGGUCACUGGGAUCCAUGUGCAAGCUCCAUCUACAAGGCAUCAUCUGUGUUGUGGCAUCAGCGUUAAAAUGUUCUACAGCUUAAGAGUCUUCUGGAAACAAGGUUCGUAGCACACUAGUAUGACAGGAGACAAUUUAGAAGAUGGCAGCAUCUGAAACCUCCAACCCAGGAGACGUGCUUUUUGACAUUCACGUGCCCAGAGAUCGUUGCUCCCGGAUCAAAUACUCAAAGCAACACAUCUGCUGACGGCCCGGCUCCAUCUGCUUUGGCCUUUUAAAGACUGCCCCUCAUAAGCUCAUGAAAACCUUAAAGGAUGGCCUCCUGAAUACAGGGCUUCCUGAGCAAGGCCUGGAAACAUGCCACUGGAGAACUUCCUCCUCCUAAGCCUCUGGAAAUUCACUCUGCAGACAGCAAUUUAGGCGGGCUCUUUCCUCCAGGGUCUCCCCUCCUGCACCGCUACGACUCACACUGGCCAGGGGCUCCAUUUCUCCUGGUGCCAUCAGAUCGCCAUGAUGAACACUACAGUAACAAACCACCGUCUAUGAGGCAUUUUCGUAGCUUUUAGAUGGUACCGUCGCUGCGGGCCCACCCAAGGGUGCACAUUCAAUCCCCACCCUCUCCACUGGCAAGCAACACCACCCCGCCCACCCAGAGUCUCAGCAGGGGAUGCCUCUCCUCUCGACGGUUACCAAGAUACCGACUCCAAUGGCAACAACUUUCCCGUCUUACCAGAUUACCAGAAGCAAUGUUUUAAGUGAAUGGGUAACCUCGAGAGAGUGAAGGGGAGGAGGGGGAGUGGGGGGUGGGCAGAGUGAGCUCGCAGAACAGGUUAGCGCAGAACCUAGAGGAAAAGUCCAAAGGGGAGCACUGCCACCUGGAAAAUAAAGUGAGGGUCAAUUUUGUCUGCCUACAGCUCCCGCCUGCCAGACAUAAUAGUAACCGCUUGGACCGGCACCUUACCUCCUCACUCACUCCCUAGACCACCCUCACACCCAGACCUGGGUUUCACCAGGCUGGGCCUGGCUGGACCCUGUCCCGGGCCCAGCCAGACUUACAUACCGCCCUGGGCCAGAGCUGUCAGCCCCGCGAAGCUAAGGGCAGCUUCCACCACAUGAGGCCUCAUCCCCAGCUCCUUUUCAAAGCAUCGACUGACCAACUCCGCCUCCAGCAAGGGAGGCAAGACCCUCAACCUCCUCCACCUCUCCGUCUCUGUCUUCCUCCUCCUACACAAACCAGGGCACCGGGGGCCGCUCAGCCUAAGCAGGAGCGGCGCCCACCCGAAGGUCAAGUUCCCCUUCUCCAGCAGACAGCUGCGACAGCCAGGCCUGGGGUGUCGUCUUCCCCCUGGACUACUAAGAGCCCUUUCAACACAGCUCUCCCCAGCACAAUUUCCCCAAGAUCUAGUCCGCCCGUUAACCCUCCUUCUCUUGGCACCCCAAAUCCCCCAGGCUCAUCUAACUCUGCCAUCUCUCUCAUCGGUCCCCUAAGACCCUAAACUGGUCUACUCCGCCCUCCACAACUAAGCCCAGGCCCCCGGCCCUCCCUGUCGCUAACUCCUGCUGGACAGGCCACAACUUUUGCUUUUAUAGUCCUGGGCCGCGUCACUGGGGCACUGCUCAACGGGACGAUUCCUCCACUGCCACUAGAAAAAAAGUCCCUCCCCGACCCUGGCCAAGUAGACGACUCGGGGCGGCUCCCAGUUUCCCGAGUGUCCAGGUCUCGAAUUCCCCGAUUAUCCCCACUCCUCUAAGCAAGUGCUUCCUGAGAUCGACGACAGAUCUCAAGGUCACCUUGCGGGGGAGGCGGAUUCCAACGGGGACGAGGAUGGGGAGAGAAAUCCCCUUCUCAGCCUGUGAUGGAGCCGAGGGUUGGCAGGCUUCCUGUUCCUUGAGGGGAGGUGUGGGUGGGGAGUGGAUGAGGCGGGUUGGGGCUGCUCUCUGGAAGCGAAGGGAACUGCUGGGGGUCGCCUCAGGUCACCCCUGCCCAGCAGAAGUCCG